rnacentral:tRNA from 1 species
AGCUCAGCUGGUAGAGCAUAACCUUGCCAAGGUUAGGGUCGCGGGUUCGAAUCCCGUC